rnacentral:rRNA from 1 species
CGGCAUGCCUAACACAUGCAAGUCGAACGAGACCUUCGGGUCUAGUGGCGCACGGGUGCGUAACGCGUGGGAACCUGCCUUUAGGUUCGGAAUAACUCAGAGAAAUUUGAGCUAAUACCGGAUAAUGUCUUCGGACCAAAGAUUUAUCGCCUUUAGAUGGGCCCGCGUAAGAUUAGCUAGUUGGUGGGGUAAAGGCCUACCAAGGCGACGAUCUUUAGCUGGUCUGAGAGGAUGAUCAGCCACACUGGGACUGAGACACGGCCCAGACUCCUACGGGAGGCAGCAGUGGGGAAUAUUGGACAAUGGGCGAAAGCCUGAUCCAGCAAUGCCGCGUGAGUGAUGAAGGCCUUAGGGUUGUAAAGCUCUUUUACCCGAGAUGAUAAUGACAGUAUCGGGAGAAUAAGCCCCGGCUAACUCCGUG